rnacentral:rRNA from 1 species
UACGUAGGGGGCAAGCGUUGUCCGGAAUUCAUUGGGCGUAAAGAGCGUGUAGGCGGUCCGAUAAGUCCGCUCUGAAAGCCCGGGGCUCAACCCCGGGAGGCGGGCGGAUAACUGUCGGGCUAGAGUCCGGAAGAGGCGAGUGGAAUUCCUGGUGUAGCGGUGAAAUGCGCAGAUAUCAGGAGGAACACCAAUGGCGAAGGCAGCUCGCUGGGACGUGACUGACGCUGAGACGCGAAAGCGUGGGGAGCAAACAGG